UUAGCGUUCCCGUGCAGGCGUGUUAAUAGCGUCAUCUUUGGCCGGGUGACGUGGUUAGUGAAUC
rnacentral:ncRNA from 1 species